rnacentral:rRNA from 1 species
CAGCACCGCGGUAACACCAGCAGCCCAAGUGGUGGUCGCGAUUAUUGGGCCUAAAGCGCUCGUAGCCGGGCCGGUAAGUCCCUUGUGAAAUCGGACGGCCUAACCGUUCGGCGUGCAAGGGAUACUGUCGGUCUUGAGGCCGGGAGACGUCCGAGGUACUCCGGGGGUAGCGGUGAAAUGUUCUGAUCCUCGGGGGACCACCGGUGGCGAAGGCGUUCGACGAGAACGGGCCUGACGGUGAGGGGCGAAGGCUAGGGGAGCAAACGGGAUUAGAUACCCGCGUAGUCCCUGUCUCUUAUAC